ACGGAAGGCAGCAGUGGGGAAUAUUGGGCAAUGGGCGAAAGCCUGACCCAGCGACGCCGCGUGAGGGAAGAAGGUCUUCGGAUUGUAAACCUCUUUCAGCAGGGAAGAAGCAUGACGGUACCUGCAGAAGAAGUCACGGCUAACUACGUGCCAGCAGCCGCGGUAAUACGUAGGUGGCGAGCGUUAUCCGGAAUUACUGGGUGUAAAGGGUGUGUAGGCGGAGAAGCAAGUCAGGCGUGAAAUUCAGAGGCUCAACCUCUGGACUGCGCUUGAAACUGUUUCCCUUGAGAGUGGGAGAGGUAAACGGAAUUCCUGGUGUAGUAGUGAUAUGCGUAGAUAUCAGGAGGAACACCGGUGGCGAAGGCGGUUUACUGGACCACAACUGACGCUGAGACACGAAAGCGUGGGGAGCAAACAGGAUUAGAUACCCUGGUA
rnacentral:rRNA from 1 species